rnacentral:rRNA from 1 species
UGCCAGCCGCCGCGGUAAUACGGAGGGGGCUAGUGUUGUUCGGAAUUACUGGGCGUAAAGCGCGCGUAGGCGGAGUGUUAAGUCAGGGGUGAAAUCCCGGGGCUCAACCCCGGAACGGCCUCUGAUACUGGUAGUCUUGAGUUCGAGAGAGGUGAGUGGAAUUCCGAGUGUAGAGGUGAAAUUCGUAGAUAUUCGGAGGAACACCAGUGGCGAAGGCGGCUCACUGGCUCGAUACUGGCGCUGAGGUGCGAAAGGGUGGGGAGCAAACAGGAUUAGAUA